ACACCGGUAGCCCGAGUGGUGGCCACUAUUAUUGGGCCUAAAGCGUCCGUAGCCGGUCCGGUAAGUCCCUGUGGAAAUCCUCAGGCUCAACCUGAGGAAAUGCGGGGAUACUGCCGGACUCGGGGCCGGGAGACGCGGAGGGUACUCCAGGGGUAGCGGUGAAAUGCUGUAAUCCCUGGGGGACCACCAGUGGCGAAGGCGCUCCGCGAGAACGGGCCCGACGGUGAGGGACGAAAGCCAGGGGAGCGAACGGGAUUAGAAACCCUAGUAGUCC
rnacentral:rRNA from 1 species